rnacentral:tRNA from 1 species
AGUUUAAUAGUUUAAUGAAAACCUGAGACUGCAAUUCUCGUAUUACUCACUCGAGUUUAAACUU